rnacentral:rRNA from 1 species
UACGAAGGGGCGUAGCGUUGUUCGGAAUUACUGGGCGUAAAGAGCACGUAGGCGGCACGUUAAGUCAGAGGUGAAAUCCCAGGGCUCAACCUUGGAAUUGCCUUUGAUACUGGCGAGCUUGAGACCGAGAGAGGGUGGCGGAAUUCCCAGUGUAGAGGUGAAAUUCGUAGAUAUUGGGAAGAACACCGGUGGCGUAGGCGGCCACCUGGCUCGGAUCUGACGCUGAGGUGCGAAAGCGU